CAUCAACACAAAUGGAAUGUUCAGGAGUUGAACUGAUGCACGGUUGUAGCACUCUACAUCCCAAGGAAGAACAUUAAAUGUAAUAAGAAAUUUUUAUGGUCCUGAAUAUCUUUUAGACAUUAAUAUUUUGAAAAGAAGAUAAAUUGAAGAUGAAAAAUAAGGACAGGUAAAGACAUUUUGUCUCACUCUCAAAAUUAGAAACAAUAAAAAGAAAUUAAUUGACGUAUGUCCAAAGCAAUGAUCCUAUUUCAUGUAGGAAACCUUCUGCGUUCACCCAGAAUUUCCACAGAGAGCGGACACAUUUCACUGUUUGCAAAGCCUUUCUUAUUAGGAACUACCAGUGUUUCCCUGAGUUUCUCUGGCCACAGGAUUUCCACUUCUCCCAGCACAGUGUUGUGGCCCUGAGAGAGCGUCUGUGAACUCAACUCCAGAACAACUCGCUUCACGUUUCUCUGAGGAUGACGGUGAGGCCCGAGCCCUGCAGUUCGGAGGAGGCCCCCUUGGACUCUGCAGUUUUGCAGCUGACCCGGGACUACUGUCUGGCAGGGGAGGGCAAAGGAAGAGAAGAAGCACUUUUCUGAUGGGACAUUCGAUGAUGCUUCUUAGUGGGCGUGGCGCUUCCAUUCAAGUCCCCCAUCUCAGUCAGAGCUGGGGACUUGCAGUUUGUCCUUGCCUGACAGGGAUUCGAAGGGCCAAAUUGUUUCUAGAGAAUAAAACGGUAAGAACUAAAGAACAGAUGAUACAUUAAAACAGUAAGUAAACAACUUUUUUAUCAACAAAAUUCUAUUUCAUGUCAACCUCCAACCCCUCUAGUCUGUCUUUCUGGUAGUACAAUACUAAUGAACUGUCCAUUACAGAGCCUGUACAAGGAGGCAUAGUUCCUGCCCUCAAGGGGCUUACACCCAGAGUGGGAGCUAGAAUGUGCACAGGAACUCUCUGACCAUACCAGGCUCUGCACACUCGGCUGUGCACUGGCAUUGCCAUCCACAUGCUGGAUGUGCUGGAGCAGCCAGAGGAAGGGAAGACCACAUGGGUUGGAGCAGGCUGGGAAGGCUCCCUGUUUUGAAGGUGGAGAAUAUGAGACUGAGGGAGGCGGGGGUUGAGGUCAUCAAGGAGGGCUGGAACUUAGUCAAAUAUCCAGCGGAGGAGAGUAGGGGAGAAAACAGCCCAGGGAGCGGCACAGGGCUAGGUAUGAGCCGGAUGUGGUUGGAGAAGGAUGAGUAAACCUCUCUGGCCAGAGUUGAAAGGAUCUUGGAAGGGAGCUGAUGAGGGAGGCAGGAGUGAGAUGUGGUAAGACAAAGAAUUUGGAUUUUACUUGGUAAGCAAACAAAACUUAGGGCGGAGGAACUGCGUCAGGGUCAAGCCGAGCUUGCUACAGUCCUCUGGCAGGACAGGAAGUGUCAAGUGACUCGAGAAAAGCUUUCCAACUUUAUUGCUCCCUGAGAAAUAAUGGCAGAGGUACGGGGCUUGGACCCACUGGGAAGGCUUGUCUAGAGUGGUGUGUUCACAGGCAGCUGGAGGCUCGUAAGAGCAAAAUGCAGACAACAAGCAAGCAGCUAAGGCGCUGACCUCAUGUGGCUGGCGCAGCCACCGGCCAGAGCAAAACCAGAGCAAGCUCCCCAAAUGUGCCUGGGACAGUCGGACAUCACUACUUUGAACUGCCCAGUUUGGUGGCCAAGGUGAGGAUGUGGGCUGAAGAACAGAGAAUGAGAAACUGGGCUCUCAUCUGGGACUACACCUGAGUUUAAGACAUGUGUCAAUAAUUCAGCUCAAAAUCUGGAUGAUUCUGAAGGUCUAGUUUUAAAACAUAAAUGAGAAACUUUUCAUUCUGAUGAUAGCUAUCAUUUGUUAGACUUUUAUGUUCAGGGUCUGAGAUAUAUAUAUGUACGUGUGCAUGUGUGUGUGUAUAUAUAUAUAUAUAUAUGUAUAUAGGUUUUAAUGCUCAUGAUUUUAUGCAUAAGGGAACUGCUCAGAGAGAUUGAGUGACUGGCCCAGUGUCACACAGCAAGCAAAAGGCAAGGCUACAGUUCAGCCGUUGUGCUGCUGGCAUCAAAGCCCACACUUACUUACUCACCCAUGUUACGUCCAUAGAGGUUUCCAGACAUUCUGUUGACAGAGGCAUCUGUGUAUAUUUUCAUCCCAGUCAUGAUGACUUUUGACUUCUACAUACAUACAUGAGGAAAACAACACCAGUCUUGGUUGUGAUUUUGCUCUGGCUGAAAAUGUAGGUGCUGAACACAAAGCCAGAUUCAGAACUCUGGAAGAUUGAUGUCUCUUCUCAGGGCUUUAAACAGUAGUUAGUAGUUCAAUAAAUGCUCUCCAUUCAUAUCCA
rnacentral:lncRNA from 1 species